rnacentral:lncRNA from 1 species
GCCAUCCAAUCCAACCCCCUUCUGCCAGGCAGGAAGACACCACCCAAGCCCUCCUGACAGAUUGCCAUCCAGCCUUUGCUUAAAAACCUGCUAAUCUUUAUAGACAGGUGUUUUGGUAUCACCUCAGUGUAGUCCACGCCACCUCUAUUGACAACACUGCUUAAGCUCAUUUUGCUUGACUCUCUUGUUGGAAUGGGCGUGUAAGGAUGUGGGUGGGAGGAUGCUCAUCUAGCACAUUAUUUCUUCACCUGGGGAAAAGGAAAGCACAAAUGCCAGCCCUCCUUUCUCGGCAUCAGUCCCACCCUGGAAGAAGCAAGGGACCCUUUCCAAAUCCUCUCCCAUCCUCUUUGGGGGCUCUGAGCUCCAAGUGUAAAAGAUGCACCUGCAGCCAAGGCCAGGCUGGACCCCAAAGCCCUGCAGAGCCUCGUGGUGCUGAACGGACAGCGACUUCCUUUCUGCAGCCACGCCUCGCCGCUGUUGCAAUUCCCGGAUCGGUCGGCAGGGGGAAGCCUUCCCAAGUCUUGAGGAGGAAGAGGAGGAGGAGGAGGAGGAAGAAGAAGGCUCUCUGGAUGUCCCUGGCCAGGCAGCAUGCGCCCCGAGGCAGCCGAGAAGAAGGCAAGGCGGGCCAGGAAAGGUAGGUCUCCCUGCCAGACUCACUGUAGUGUGUGUGUGAUCAUAAGCGAUGGCGAUGUUGGAUCUGGAGGGAAGGAGGAGGAGGAGGAAGGGAGAGGGGAGCAGCCAUGAAGUCAUCAUCCUGCCUGGCUCCCACCCGCUUUCUAUGCCACCUUGCUCAUCCCUGCAGGGUGGGAGGGGGGAAAAGGGUGGGCACUAGCUCCCUGCAGUCCCAAUGGGGUUGGACUGCAGUACCCAUCGUCCCCAGGCCAUCCUCUAAGGGAGGAUUCCCUUGCUCCUAAAGAGGAGGAUGCAUACACUUGUGGGGAAAGCUCUCCUUUAGUGGAUGGGUGGCUGAGAGAGAACUGCCGCAGCACAUGGGUCACAUUCAAGGCCCUCCGUGUCAUUUGGUAUUUCCCUCUGGAUGCUGGAGGAUAAUUUCUAUAUUAUUCAUCAACAACAACAACUAUUAUUAUUAUUAUUAUAAAAUUACCAUCUGUCAGCUGCAAAGGGCCACCCUACUUGGAUCUGCUUGCAUUAUUCACCGAUACAUCACACAGUCCUAGACACUUGGGAAGUGUCCGGCAUGUAAUCCAAUACAACAGUCAGUGUAGUGAUCUUAUUUGCUGUGUACUAACCUUGCUGUUUAUCAAAUAAUAAUAAUAAUACAGUAGAGCCUCACUUAUCCAGGGCUCGCUUAUCCAGGUUCUGGAGUAUCCAAGGCAUUUUUGUAGUGAAUGUUUUCAAUAUAUUGUGAUAUUUUGGUGCUAAAUUUGUAAAUACAGUAAUUACUACAUAACAUUACUGCGUAUUGAACUACUUUUUCUGUCAAGUUUGUUGUAUAACAUGAUGUUUUGGUGCUUAAUUUGUAAAAUCAUAACCUCCUUAUUAUCCAAGAUAUUCACUUAUCCAAGGUUCUGCCAACCCGUUCAGCUUGGAUAAGUGAGACUCUACUGUAAUGAAUUGUUGUGAGGUUUCUGGGCUGUAUGGCCAUGUUCCUACACAGAAAAGCCAUCUAUCAGCUGCAAAAGGCCACCCUACUUGGAUCUGCUUGCAUUAUUCGCUGAAACAUCACAUAGUCCUAGACACUUGGGAAGUGUCCGGUGUGUGAUCCAUUGCAACAGCCAGCAUAGUGAUCUAGUUUGCUGUGUAUUAAACUUGUUUAUCAAAGAAUAAUAAUACUGGGUUGCUGUGAGUUUUCUGGGCUGUAUGGUCAUGUUCCUACACAGAGAAGCCACUGAAAUCCACAAACAUGUGGACAGUUUCAACCGAAAGGAGGAACCUAUGAAAAUGAGCACAAUCUGGCUACCAGUAUUUGGCUGCCAGGCUUUGAAGGUGCAAGGCUUUUCAAUGCUAAUCAAGGUAGCCAACUGCAACAUUCACACUUGCCUCCAACAGACAAGAGUUCUUUCUCCCACCCUGGACAUUAUUCCACAGAUAUAUAAACCCCACUGGCCUAGUUUCCAACAGACCUCACAACCUCUGAGGAUGCCUGCCAUAGAUGUGGGCAAAACAUCAGGAGAGAAUGCUUCUGGAACAUGGCCAUGCAGCCCGGGAAACUCACAGCAACCCAGUAUUUUAAACUUCUAAAAUCAGGGUAGUAAAUAAAGGGCAACAGUAAAAAAAAAGAAAAAAGAAUUCAAGACAGGAAACAAUCAGGACCAGUUAACACCUCCCAACAAAAGAUUCCCCUAGGCAGGAAGCAGCUAGGUUUUGAAGCUGCAAGGCCAUUCAAUGCUAAUCCAGCUGGCCAUUUGCAACAUUCAUACUUUUGGUCUCUGUCUCCAUGGUUUAUCCCUCCAUGGAUUCAAUGUCUAUUUGAAGGCAACCCUAAGGCGGAUGUAGCCCUUCAUGAAAAUGAGCUUAACACUCUUAUAUUAUAGUGUUUUCCCUCUGCCAUUUGUUUUUUGUGGGGAGCUGCCAUGGGUUUCCAUUGGUCUCUUGAAUAUUUUUGCUUCAUAUUGUCCCAAAGGGACACAGCAUGUAUUGAGGCCAGCAAACACAUUUCAAAUAUAUUUUAAAUUUUAAAUUAAACUAUAUUUC